rnacentral:rRNA from 1 species
GAUGAACGCUGGCGGCGUGCCUAACACAUGCAAGUCGAGCGAAGCGGGGACGGGUGAGUAAUACGUGGAAAACUUCCUAUAAGAGUGGGUAAAUUCUGGGAACCCGGAGCAAAACCGGUUACUUAUAGGUGGAUCUGCGCUGCAUUAGCUAGUUGGUAGGGUAACGGCUUACCAAGGCGACGAUGCAUAGCCGACCUGAGAGGAUGAUCGGCCACACUGGAACUGAGACACGGUCCAGACUCCUACGGGAGGCAGCAGUGGGGAAUAUUCCGCAAUGGGCGAAAGCCGGACGGAGCAAUGCCGCGUGAGUGAAGAAGGUCUUCGGAUCGUAAAGUUCUUUUAGUAGGGAAGCGUUACUUGAACAGAAAGCCACGGCUAACUACGUGCCAGCAGCCGCGGUAAUAC